ACCAGGUUUUGUGGGGGAGCAGCAAUCAUCUUCCACAGUGUAUUGCUGCAAAGUUAAAGAACAUGAUACACGGUCCAUCAGACAAAUGCUGAAUAAAUAGAAAUAAUAAUGAUUAAGCACGUUUUAAAUGGACUUGAAUGACGGAAUCAUGUCGACCCACAAGGCAUGACCAGUUCACGCUGACAUUGCAUAAGCCAAGACCACUUCGAGACAAG
rnacentral:misc_RNA from 1 species